ensembl:lncRNA
CAGUAAGUAUGAAGCAUAACCCUGCUACUUCCUGAAGCCUGACAUUAUUUUAUUGCUACGAUGGUCUAAAAUUAAUCCCUUAAUAUAAAUCGGAUUAACUAUAAAUUGAUCGUUGUUCAAAUAACAACAUAUCCAGCCGAAAGACGAAAAACAACCUUUGCUUCGUUCAAUGUCAUUACUAGACCAAUUGCUGAAGUGCUAGUGGUGAUAGCUUUAAGUUCUCAAUUACAUGUAAAUUGUGCAUAAUUAAUUGUGAUUCAAGACACUCUCUCACCCUUCAUUGUCCUAUUAUAAAUUAACUUACAUCUACUGAUGUAUGUUAUUUAUGUAAAUAUUAGUUAUAGGCAAAUAGGAAUUCUUUACGCAUGCAUUGCGCAUAUCGUUAUAGAUACAUUCAUUCAGUUUACUGGAUUUGGUUCAGGGUCAUGUUCAUUUGACUGUUGAUUUUCGGCGUUACUACACUCAACGUGUCGUUAUUUGCGUAUAGGUCUACAUAUUAUUGUAAAGAUUAGCACAUUUAAAACCAAACAAACAAAGAACACCAAAAAUAAACACAACAUGGACAAAAACAAACCAAAAUCAACAACGUCAACUACGGAAAGUUUUGAAGGUUGCUUUACAGUCUGAACAACCCAUAAAUACACUAGCCUUUAGGCCUUUAUUUGUUUUUAAAAGCGCAUAAAUAAUAAAUAGUGAAGCGGGGUUGGGUAACAAAGCAUAGCUUGAAAUGCGGCCUAUUGGACUGAGGACCAAAUAAUAGCCUACAGACACACGUGCACAUUCACACACACACACACACACACACACACACACACACACACACACACACACACACACACACACACACACACACACACACACACACACACACACACACACACGCACACACACGCACAGAACCAACAACAAAUGUGGUUUAUUCGAUCAACGUGCGCCAUUGCUGAAGUUAGGACACCACACAACUGGCCAUGCGUGAUAGAAAGUCCCACCUAACCGGACUGAGAGACAUUCACACACAGCUCCCACAUGCUACAACUACACAGGAGCUACCAGGUAGGAAUCGCAUAUACGUGAUGUUUGUAUAACUACGGGUAUAACAUUGUCCAAACGUUUUUUGUUUAUAUUUCUGGAUAAUUAGAAAAAAUGUAUUGUUUAAUUUGGUAUUUGUUGUCACUGUAUGCAGUUACCAAGUUGGCUAACUAAAACAAUGUUGUAACCCAUCCCUUGUGAAAUAAAUGAAUGUUACGAGAACAAGCAAAUGUGGGCAAGGCAUAUCGGCUAUAUGUAAAACGUCAACUUCUCUCGUUGACAUAAGCACGAGGACAAUCGUGUAGAUUCAAGUAUUAAGCCUGUGAUCAGUGAAGUUGUAGUUUUUAAUUAGGCAAGAAUAGGAUUUGUUGCUUGGACGCAUUCAAAGCCAAACCUUUGUCUGCGCGGUCGACUUCAAGUUCGGGGGAGGGAGAGGCCCGCUGCCCAGCCGCAGAGUCCUAUACAAGACUUUGACACCAUUUAAGGGCACAUGCAUGCCCCGGAUGAAGGCUCCUGAUUGCUUUUACAUUUGGCUUGCAUGCCACAGUUUUCCAAAGG